GAAAAAAAAAAAAAACAAAC
rnacentral:miRNA from 1 species